CAUUGACUCAAUCUGCAGAAUCGCUUAGUGAAAGUUUAGGUUUAAAUGGCACUCACUAUUACUACUCAAAGGAAAAAGCAUCGUCUUGAAACGCUGACAACCUUCUGGAAACAGAUCUCCUGGCACUGCAGAAGAAAUUGAAUGAUAUGGGAAUCACUUAUUGGACACAUGGAAAGGAGGAAGUCUACUAUUCACUCAGCCAAACAUCCUCCGUGUCCAGAAAUUUCCCUUGGCAGUCAAUGAAGUAGGUUUGUAAGUAUGAUGAGGAUACAUACUGCACUGGGAGUUGUGAAAGCAACUACAGCACUAUGCCUGGCAUAUCCCAGAUUUUAAAUAAAUGUUAAAUAAAUGAAUGAAAAAGUG